UUUUGUACACGAAGUUGAUAUAGUGUCACUGGGUAGGAGAAAGUUCAGCACAGAUUUUCAGACUGCUAAAGGCGUUGAUGUUCUUUGGAUUUAUAGUGACGGUUAGCAUCCUCUUUAUGUUUGUGAAUCUUAAAGUUGGUGACAUCUUUGCGAGCAAAGAGCACAACAGCUGAUCCAAAUGCAUUGAUUGAUGAAUGGAGAAUACACAAGAAGCAAGUUAUGGCUUCAUGACCUU